UGGAGCAUGUGGUUUAAUUCGAAGCAACGCGAAGAACCUUACCAGGUCUUGACAUCCCUGACAACCCGAGAGAUCGGGCGUUCCCCUUCGGGGGACAGGGUGACAGGUGGUGCAUGGUUGUCGUCAGCUCGUGUCGUGAGAUGUUGGGUUAAGUCCCGCAACGAGCGCAACCCUCGACCUUAGUUGCCAGCAUUCAGUUGGGCACUCUAAGGUGACUGCCGGCUAAAAGUCGGAGGAAGUGGGGAUGACGUCAAAUCAUCAUGCCCCUUAUGACCUGGGCUACACACGUGCUACAAUGGGCGGUACAAAGGGUCGCGAACCCGCGAGGGGGAGCCAAUCCCAAAAAGCCGCUCUCAGUUCGGAUUGCAGGCUGCAACUCGCCUGCAUGAAGCCGGAAUCGCUAGUAAUCGCGGAUCAGCAUGCCGCGGUGAAUACGUUCCCGGGCCUU
rnacentral:rRNA from 1 species